GAGCGGUAACAGGCGUAGCAAUACGUGCUGACGAGCGGCGAACGGGUGAGUAAUGCUUCGGAAUCUACCCAGUAGUGGGGAAUAACCAUCCGAAAGGGUGGCUAAUACCGCAUACGUCCUACGGGAGAAAGCGGGGGAUCGUAAGACCUCGCGCUAUCGGAUGAGCCGAAGCCGGAUUAGCUAGUUGGUAGGGUAACGGCCUACCAAGGCUACGAUCCGUAGCUGGUCUGAGAGGACGACCAGCCACACUGGGACUGAGACACGGCCCAGACUCCUACGGGAGGCAGCAGUGGGGAAUAUUGGACAAUGGGGGCAACCCUGAUCCAGCGACCCCGCGUGUGUGAAGAAGGCCUGCGGGUUGUAAAGCACUUUUAGUGGGGAUGAAGAGCCUUGGGAUAACACUCCAGGGUCUUGACCUAACCCACAGAAAAAGCACCGGCUAACUCUGUGCCAGCAGCCGCGGUAAUACAGAGGGUGCGAGCGUUAAUCGGAAUUACUGGGCGUAAAGCGUGCGUAGACGGUAAUGUAAGUCAGAUGUGAAAGCCCCGGGCUCAACCUGGGAAUUGCAUUUGAGACUGCAUUGCUUGGGUGCGGAAGAGGGAAGCGGAAUUUCCGGUGUAGCGGUGAAAUGCGUAGAUAUCGGAAGGAACACCAGUGGCGAAAGCGGCUUCCUGGUCCGACACCGACGUUCAGGCACGAAAGCGUGGGGA
rnacentral:rRNA from 1 species